rnacentral:RNase_P_RNA from 1 species
CGGAGGGUCCAGACGCCCGCCGGUCGAGACGGUGCGCAAGCCUCGUCGUCGACGGGAGGAAAGUCCGGGCUCCGCAGGGCAUGGGUGCAGGAAAACGGCCUGUCGGGGUGACUCGAAGGAAAGUGCCACAGAAAACACACCGCCCCGCCGGGCCGAAAGGCUGCGGGGCAAGGGCGAACCGGUGCGGCAAGGGCGCACCGCGUCGGCGGUGACGUCGACGGCAGGGCAAACCCCACCCGGAGCAAGGCGAGAGGUCCGCCGCAGAGGCGAAGCGCGGCCCGCGCGACCUCGAAGAGCCGCUGGACGGCGUCGGCAACGACGUCGCUGGAGGAAUGGGCGUCAGGCGGCGGAGGCAACGACGUCGCCGACAGAACCCGGCUUAUCGGGCCGCUCCGACGC